CAGAGAAGGUGGAAGAACACAUUAAAGCUGCGAUUUUUAUCUCAAAAAAUCCAAGAGUACAGAGAAGGUGGAAGAACACAUUAAAGUUGCGAUUUUUAUCUAAAAAACUUCAUGAGUACAGAUAACAGAGAGAAAAAAUGGAGCACUGGCAGACCUGGUGAGUGGUUACAUUUAAUUUUGCCAAAAAAACAAGUGAUGUUACCAUUAGCUUUUCUUCCUUAUUUUUAUCUCUGAUUUUAUCAUUUAUCAUGUAGGAUGAUGUUGGUUGUUUUAAGUACUAUGCCAAGCUUGUAGGAAGAUUGCUAAUUGCAGUUGUGUUCCUAGAAAACCUGUGGAAUUUUGAUUUGGUUCUUUUUUUUAUAUCAGGUUUUGAUUUUGAUUUUCUAUAGUUAGGAUUCAAAAGAGGUUGUUUAAGUAAAGUAGUUUAGUUCUGUGAUAGUUGUAUCCCCUUCUGCUUUUUAUUGUAAGGGAUGAUGGAUUUUUUACUUUUUACUAAUAUGAAUAUGAAUGAAUGAAUAAAGUUAAGGUGAAA